UACAGAGGGUGCAAGCGUUGUUCGGAAUUAUUGGGCGUAAAGGGAGUGUAGGCGGUUUGGUAAGUCUUCUGUGAAAUCUACGGGCUUAGCCUGUAACGUGCAGAGGAAACUACCAGGCUUGAGUGUCGGAGAGGAUAGGGGAAUACCCGGUGUAGAGGUGAAAUUCGUAGAGAUCGGGUGGAACACCAGUGGCGAAGGCGCCUAUCUGGCUGACAACUGACGCUGAGACUCGAAAGCAUGGGGAGCAAACAGG
rnacentral:rRNA from 1 species